AUUAGGAAUCUUGCACAAUGGGGGAAACCCUGAUGCAGCGACGCCGCGUGGAGGACGAAGGCAUUCGUGUCGUAAACUCCUUUUGACAGGGAAGAAGAAUGUGACGGUACCUGUCGAAUAAGCCCCGGCUAACUACGUGCCAGCAGCCGCGGUAAUACGUAGGGGGCGAGCGUUGUCCGAAGUUACUGGGCGUAAAGCGCGCGUAGGCGGCUUUUUAAGUCUGGGGUGAAGGGUUCUGCGCUUAACGUGAACAGUGCCCUGGAGACUGGAAGGCUUGAGUGUGGGAGGGGGCAGUGGAAUUCCUGGUGUAGCGGUGAAAUGCGUAGAUAUCAGGAGGAACACCGAUGGCGAAGGCAGCUGCCUGGCCUAACACUGACGCUGAGGUGCGAAAGCGUGGGGAGCGAACGG
rnacentral:rRNA from 1 species